UGGGGAAUAUUGGGCAAUGGGCGAAAGCCUGACCCAGCAACGCCGCGUGAGGGAAGAAGGUUUUCGGAUUGUAAACCUCUGUCCUUGGGGACGAAGAAAGUGACGGUACCCAAGGAGGAAGCCCCGGCUAACUACGUGACAGCAGCCGCGGUAAUACGUAGGGGGCGAGCGUUGUCCGGAAUUACUGGGCGUAAAGGGUGCGUAGGGGGUUUCCUAAGUCAGAGGUGAAAUCCCCGGGCUUAACUCGGGUGGUGCAUUUGAAACUGGGAGGCUAGAGUGCAGGAGAGGGAAGCGGAAUUCCUAGUGUAGCGGUGAAAUGCGUAGAUAUUAGGAGGAACACCAGUGGCGAAGGCGGCUUUCUGGACUGUAACUGACGCUGAGGCGCGAAAGCGUGGGGAGCAAACA
rnacentral:rRNA from 1 species